CAAUAGCGUAUAUUAAAGUUGUUGCAGUUAAAAAGCUCGUAGUUGGAUUUGUGGCGUACGGUGUGUUCCGGGCACUUGUUGUCUGAGUAACCUGCUGUUGCCAUCCUUGGGUGGAACCUGUGUGGCAUUAGGUUGUCGUGCAGGGGAUGCCCAUCAUUUACUGUGAAAAAAUUAGAGUGUUCAAAGCAGGCUUAUGCCGUUGAAUAUAUUAGCAUGGAAUAAUGAGAUAGGACUUUUUUGCUAUUUUGUUGGUUUGCGCAAAGAGGUAAUGAUUAAUAGGGACAGUUGGUGGUAGUCGUAUUCCAUUGUCAGAGGUGAAAUUCUUGGAUUUUUGGAAGACGAACUACUGCGAAAGCAUUUACCAAGGAUGUUUUCAUUAA
rnacentral:rRNA from 1 species